rnacentral:rRNA from 1 species
GACGUAGGGUGCAAGCGUUGUCCGGAUUUAUUGGGCGUAAAGAGCUCGUAGGCGGCUCGUCGCGUCGACCGUGAAAACCCGCAGCUUAACUGUGGGCGUGCGGUCGAUACGGGCAUCACUGGAGUUCGGCAGGGGAGACUGGAAUUCCUGGUGUAGCGGUGAAAUGCGCAGAUAUCAGGAGGAACACCGGUGGCGAAGGCGGGUCUCUGGGCCGAUACUGACGCUGAGGAGCGAAAGCGUGGGGAGCAAACAGG